AAUAUAACUAAGAACACCAUCCGCGGUAAUCAACAAUUCUGUUGUUCUUUGAGAAUCUCACAAAGAUCCGUUCUUUGAAGAAACCCUUAGUACAAUUUUCUCUUGUGCGAGUUUUGACUCUCAGAACCACCACUCGACUACAUACUCGAUGGCAAGCUUCAGAGUCUUCUCCAUUCCGCACUUAACUACACACUCGAGCACAAGGAAGAAAAGAAGACUCCAGCUUAUCACUCGACCUCUCACUCGACCACAUGGGUCGAGUACAGUUCUUAAUCCGUCCCAAUACUGCGUCGUUUUGAGUAUUAGGGUUUCAGAAUAUUUUGCUAUAAGUAGCAUGUACUUUACAUUUUCGAGAACAAGUUUUUAUCUAGUUUUAUUCCGCAUACACUGUGUUCUAGACCUUUUAUAAACCGGAUUUCUCUUUAUCUAUUCAGUAUUCAGCAUUUGUUCUUGAUUUCGUUUACUGUUGUUCAUCUUGUUAUCA
rnacentral:sRNA from 1 species